rnacentral:rRNA from 1 species
UACGGGGGGGGGCAAGCGUUGUUCGGAAUUACUGGGCGUAAAGGGCUCGUAGGCGGCCAACUAAGUCAGACGUGAAAUCCCUCGGCUUAACCGGGGAACUGCGUCUGAUACUGGAUGGCUUGAAUCCGGGAGAGGGAUGCGGAAUUCCAGGUGUAGCGGUGAAAUGCGUAGAUAUCUGGAGGAACACCGGUGGCGAAGGCGGCAUCCUGGACCGGCAUUGACGCUGAGGAGCGAAAGCCAGGGGAGCAAAGCGGGG